UGGAUUCCUUCACCAGGUAAUUUUAUUUGGGUAAAAUACAGAAUUAGUCGACUGAACGAAACUAAUUACAUUCGCUAGUCAAAAAGUAUAUAAAAUAUGUAUAUUAUAUGUAUAUAGUAUAAAUAUAUACAAAAAAAUACAUUUUAUCUGUUAUAUUUGGGAGCGACUAAAAAUAUAUAUUUCUCAUUUGAUUUUUUACCAAUGAUUUUUAAUAAAUAUUUUUGGCAAUAUUUAAUUAGUUUUUUUCUCCUUGUUGGUUGUCUUUUAGACUGGAGAACAAAUGAUGCACAUGGCUCAAGGUACAGUUGAUGGGGUGAAGAACACACUAGGAAUAGGAUCGAACAAAAACAAAUGAAAGUCAAGAUCACUAAAUAAAUACUGUACCAAUUUUUUCCAUUGGUUUUAUUCUUCUUCCCCCCCCCCCCCCCUUUUAGUGUGCCUUUAUUAAGGUACGAGUGAAAAAUUACUAGUUUGUAUGUGAUUUGAAGUGAUUCUAUAGUGAAUGGUAAAAAUUUAUUCGCAUUCGUAAUCAAAAUUAUGAUCACUAUGUUAUACGCAUAUAAAGUUUUAUUGGCUUUUGGG
rnacentral:lncRNA from 1 species